AGAGUUUGAUCCUGGCUCAGGACGAACGCUGGCGGCGUGCUUAACACAUGCAAGUCGAGCGGAAAGGCCCUUCGGGGUACUCGAGCGGCGAACGGGUGAGUAACACGUGAGCAACCUGCCCCUAGCUCUGGGAUAGCUCCGGGAAACCGGGAUUAAUACCGGAUAUGACCAUGGCCGACAUCAGUCGUGGUGGAAAGUUU
rnacentral:rRNA from 1 species